UACGUAGGUGGCAAGCGUUGUCCGGAUUUACUGGGCGUAAAGAGCGCGCAGGCGGUCGUGCAAGUCGCGUGUGAAAGCCCCCGGCUCAACUGGGGAGGUCACGCGAUACUGUUCGACUUGAAGGCAGGAGAGGGAAGUGGAAUUCCCGGUGUAGUGGUGAAAUGCGUAGAUAUCGGGAGAACACCAGUGGCGAAGGCGACUUCCUGGCCUGUUCUUGACGCUGAGGCGCGAAAGCUAGGGUACGCAAACGGGAG
rnacentral:rRNA from 1 species